rnacentral:lncRNA from 1 species
AGAAUGGCUCGCGGCUUUCUAACUCUGAUUUGGAUUUGGGUUCAGAUUUAGGCACAUUCGAUAUUUCAAUCCGAUCGCUAUUAGGUGCAAAUAAAACUGAAUUUGAAUGCAACUUAGAUGAAAGUUAAAAAUUGAAUACCAAGUAACUAUUGAAGUGUCUUGGCUAGUGGAGAUCUUACAGUUAACAAGUGAGCAGAAUUGGUUUAUAUGGGUUGAGGAUUUGUUCAUAUCUAAGUCCGUUACUUAUCUGCAUAAAUAAUGAUCUAAAUCUGAACUGCAUGAACAUUACAUAAUGUAUUAUGUAUUAAGCUUCCACUUAAAGAUUAAGAGCCUACUUGGCUGUACUGCAGUAUAUAUAGCAUUAUUUGAUGAAGCGCUAUUUGAUCAUCAGUAAAAUAACUAUAUUGUGAUUAGCACCGUCCG